UACGAAGGGGCUAGCGUUGUUCGGAAUUACUGGGCGUAAAGCGCACGUAGGCGGGUUGUUAAGUCAGGGGUGAAAUCCUGGAGCUCAACUCCAGAACUGCCUUUGAUACUGGCAACCUAGAGACUGGAAGAGGUUAGUGGAAUUCCCAGUGUAGAGGUGAAAUUCGUAGAUAUUGGGAAGAACACCAGUGGCGAAGGCGGCUAACUGGUCCAGCACUGACGCUGAGGUGCGAAAGCGUGGGAGCAAACAGG
rnacentral:rRNA from 1 species